GCAGUAUUAGUUAAAUAAUUAAUAAAAUAAUGUUACAAUACCAUACAAUUUAUAAUCAUAGCUACUACUAGUUACAAUUAAAAAACGUCACAGUUUCAAAUUACAUGGGAAUGGUCUACAAAUUUCAUGACUACUCUUAUUACAUGAAGCUUACAUAUUAUUCAUUGAUCACAAUUUUAUUUAUUUAUUGGUGACAAUUAUCUAAUAGUUGGUACCAAACGUUCCUCUUUUGACCCAUUCCGUCCUACCAGCACCACAAAAAAAAUAUUGGUAUCACCUCACCACCACCAUCUCCAACGUCCCACACAAAUCACCACUAUAAUCCAUCACCACCGCCUCCAAAUAUACCAUACACAUAGCACAAACAAUCACACACAUGCAUCACAAAUAGAUCCACAAAACACCACCUCAACAACCCAAAAGGCGCCGCCCAAAAUAGGACACAGUAUCUGGGUCGAUAGAUUGAACAAGGGACUCCCACCUAUUCCUCAGUCCAUAACCACCACCUUCAUCUUAAAGUCGUUGGUAGUUUAGCAAGCUUUUAAGCCUUGAGUCUAUUGAUUUUGGGGAAGUCAAUUUAAUCCUCCAAUCAUGGACCUCACAUCACCGAGGUUGCAAUCAUUGAUUGAGAGGAAGCCUUUAUUGUUAGAGUUGAAGAAAUUCGAUUGGAUCGACUUUUCUGAGUCGAUUAAGUCAAACUUGUUGGCAUCAGUGCAAGAAAACAUCAGCGCAACUGCUUCUAAGAGUGCGAUGAACAUCAUUGCACCGACUACUAGAAGCACAUGAAGGAGGAUAGAAGGUCGAUUUUUCUGUUUACCUCAUCUUCUUGGUACUACCAUGGAGGCAGAGAACGAAGUGUUGGAUUGGACUCUUUCUGGAUGUUGGACUCGACGAUGGGUGUGAUUGUUCCCUAUGUGGUCAAAGUCAAUUAUAGAGGCCAGAGUUGGUGGUAGAUAAUAGAGAGAGUGUAGAGAGACGGGGCUCGGUAGACCCAAGCCUAAGCUGGGGCCGAGCUCCAUUUUGGGGACACGGGUUUUGCCCGAGUCGGCCCGUGAGCUCGCGAACUUUUUAUUAAAAAAAAUAAAAUAAUAAUAAUAAUUAUUUGAAACUUAAAAGGCAGCAGUUUGCUGCCUUUUAAGCCAGCGAACUGCUGCCUUAAAAGGCAGCCAAGCUGCAGCUUGGGAAAGGGAAAGGGGAGGUGAUUGGGGUUCCGUUGGCCACUUGUCCACCGAAUCUUAAGAUCAACACUGAAUCAAUGGACUAGUCAAGUUUGAAUUGAAAUCCAGGGGCAAACGAACAUAUCCAUUACAGGAUAUCCUUAUUCCGGGUAAAAACAAUACAUAUGUACGAGAACAUGUUGCCAGCUUGUUAAUGCAAGAAAUGUACCUACUACUGUAUUGGGUUGGUGCUUAUCAAUUUUGUAAGCUGUCAUAGAUCACUUGCCCCACGCUUCUAUUAUCAUUAAACCUUCAAAUUAAAUUCAAUAAUAUUCGCAAUUAG
rnacentral:lncRNA from 1 species